rnacentral:rRNA from 1 species
ACGUGCCUACGGGGCGCAGCAGUAGGGAAUCUUCCACAAUGGACGAAAGUCUGAUGGAGCAACGCCGCGUGAGUGAAGAAGGGUUUCGGCUCGUAAAGCUCUGUUUGGAGUGGAGAAAGAUAGAGGUAGUAACUGGCCUUUUUUUGACGGUAAUUACUUAGAAAGUCACGGCUAACUACGUGCCAGCAGCCGCGGUAAUACGGAGGUGGCAAGCGUUGUCCGGAUUUAUUUGGCGUAAAUCGAGUGCAGGCGGUUUCAUAAGGUUUGUG